rnacentral:tRNA from 1 species
AGAAGGUUUAUAAUUUGGGCUGCUAACUUAAAUUAGGGGUUAAAGUUUUCUCCGCCUUCUU